UACGAAGGGGGCUAGCGUUGCUCGGAGUCACUGGGCGUAAAGGGUGCGUAGGCGGGUCUUUAAGUCAGGGGUGAAAUCCUGGAGCUCAACUCCAGAACUGCCUUUGAUACUGAGGAUCUUGAGUUCGGGAGAGGUGAGUGGAACUGCGAGUGUAGAGGUGAAAUUCGUAGAUAUUCGCAAGAACACCAGUGGCGAAGGCGGCUCACUGGCCCGAUACUGACGCUGAGGUGCGAAAGCGUGGGGAGCAAACAGG
rnacentral:rRNA from 1 species